rnacentral:lncRNA from 1 species
UGGUGGGAGAAGAGGCAUCAUUGGAAGAAGGCUGUCCUUUAGUAGGUGGGAGAAGCCAUCUUUUUAGGUUAGAAGCAGGGCAUUAUGGGAGAGUAAAGGCCAUUUUAAGGUACUUCAUACAGGUGGUCUUAUUACCAUCCUCACGCUUCCUACCUAUGACAAACAUCACUCAUUCCGCCGAAAAUAUGCUCUCCUCUCAGUCUCAUGUGCCCCUUGUCCACCUCAGAGUCCAGGAUCUCCGGAUCACGGCUGAUCCUCCUCUAGUCCAUCCUGAUCCUAUCCUGAUGUUCUGUAACCUAUGGGGAAAUUUAUACAGUAGUUCCUGAUGAAGAAGUAGGCACAGGCAUAAAUACAUCAACAAUAACAUGGUAUCUUCGAGCAAGGAUCCAAGCAUCAUCUCAAAUACUCCACAUGUGGCUUCUCAUUGAAUUUUCCCAACAACCCCAUGAAGUAUUAUUCUCCAAGGUACAGAGAAAGUUUCACAUUGCUGGUGUAAUGCCCGGGUCUGGAGCAGACUGACUCAUUGAUGCCGUCCAAGGUGUGGCUUACAGUGAUUUUGUUCAAAUGGAUUCUUGGCAAAGAAGGACGUGAAUAAAUAACAUCAAGG